GCAGCGGCUUCUGGACCGCAUUCACAGCAUCACUGCCGAGAGGCUCAUCUUCAGCCACGCUGUGCAGAUGGUACGGGACAGACAGACACCAGUGGGGCAGGGCCAGGAACUUCCAGGCCGGCCGUCUCCACUGGGAGGGGACCUUGAUGCCCACAGCGUGGUGAGACUUUGGGGGGUGUCACUUCUGGAGGUCUUGAAAUGACAGCAUUAUGCACCCCCAGCCUCCUGCAGGCGCUCGCAGCUCGGCUGGGUGCAUCCUUGAUUGUACGGGUGCCGUGGCCCAUGUGCAUCCUGCCUCGCCCCGACUCAGUUUCCCCAAUUAUAAAAUGAGAGACUUGGUCUUCAGGCCUCGUAGUCAGGUGUCAGCCUCCAGAAGCAGCACCUGGUCCCGGACAACCUGCCUGGAAGUGUGGUGCACUCAGGUGGUACCGCGGGCAAAGACUCCCUGCUUGGGCUCUGAAGAGCUCCCUCUGCCUCUGAGGUGGUGCCCCCUUUUCGUUUAUUUUUUGUUGUUUUUUUUUUAAGACAGGGUCUUGCACUGUUGCCCAGGCUGAAGUGUAGUGUAGCCGCUAACUCCUGGGCUGAAGUGAUCCUCUUGCCUCAGCUUCCCAAGAUGCUGGGUAUUACAGGCAAAAACUCAUGAGUGCCUGAGUCUCCUUUUUUAAGAAAAUUUAAGCAUGUAGUAAAAAUCCAGUCUGAACAAACAUGGGAAAAGUCAGCCUCCCUCCUGCCCCCCUUCCUGCCCAGGCAGGCCAGGCAGCAGCAGUAAUGACACUGACUGAGCGGCGGGUACUCUGUUGUCCUGGGGCCGGGCUGAGAGCGCUGGCCAGGGUCAUCUGGUUCCAGGCAGUGUCUCCCCUUGGCCCUGUGACCAUCCCCUCUGCACAGCAGGCUGCACCAGCACUUAUGUCCCCACGUCACUGCCCUGAGCGCCUAUCUGCCACCCCUGGGCCGCUGCCGUGGGUGCAGGGCAGCCCUUGCUGGGAGGGAGUGGGGUGAGCUGCCCCUGUCCAGCCUCUGUCCUCGCCCCCAGGUGCAGUCGGCUGCCCUGGACGAGAUGUUCCAGCACCGUGAGGGCUGCGUCCCGCGCUACCACAAGGCCCUGCUGCUCCUGGAGGGGCUGCAGCACAUGCUCUCGGACCAGGCCGACAUCGAGAACGUCACCAAGUGUGAGUGCCAGGCUGGGCUGGGGGCUGGGGACUCUGGGCGUCUCCCUCACACUCCCCUCUCCCUCCACAGGCAAGCUGUGCAUUGAGCGGAGACUCUCGGCGCUGCUGACUGGCAUCUGUGCCUGACCUUUCUGGCCUGGCUGGGCCCCCCGUCCUGCCGAGCCCUGCAGAGUGGGCUCUGUGUGCUGGCUGGACUCCUCGGGACAAGCCCAUGGCGCUGAUCGCUGGUGCUGAGCCCUGCCCUGGGCCCCACGGACAGUCAGCCUGCCGGCCUCCCUGCAGCUCACGGGGCAGAACCAGCACAUCUGGAGCCACACAGCUUGGGGGUGUCUCCCAUCUUUUACAGGUGGGGAUCACAGAAUUUCUGCCCCUCCAGCUGCCUGGCUCAGCAGGCGUGGGUGCCACCACCCUCUAGCCCCAGGGCAGCCCCGGAGGACAGGCAAGGGCCUGAGACCACUGCCGACUCAAAGCCAAAGCGAGCUCCUGCUUAGGGCAGGUCAGCAGGCACUGUGCCCAGGAAGAGCCUGCGGCCUCGGCGUCCCCCAGUCUCCAGGAGCCUCUCCCUCCGAGAUACCCACCCAGCUUUGUCAAUCACCCAAGCACUUUAUGCAUAUAGAGACAGAACCUGGACCUCACCAGGGACUGCUGGGCAGCGAUUCCUGGCAGUGGCCUGGUGUUUGUACAUACACAUAUGCAGACACAUGCCAGGGCCCCCCAAGCCCGAGCACCGGACCACGUUGCUGCCCAGGUCUGGACCUCAGCGGGAGAACUGGCUCCGGGGGGAGUGGGGCCCUGCGCUAGAGGCAGAGGCAGUUCUUUGUUCAAGGGUUCCUCUGGGGACCGGCAGCAGAGGCACCGUGUUCUCUCAGCCCUGGAUACGUCUUGUAAUCUUUCACACUUUAUUCCUAAAAUGUGUCUUAUUUUUAUGCAGCUCAUUUUUUCUUUAAAGGAGAAAACUUGCAGGUGUUUAAGAAUUGGUUUUGGGAGGGCGAGGACUGGGCCAGGUUAGAGGCAGAUGGCACAGGGGCGUGUGGCGGGCGGGUGA
rnacentral:sRNA from 1 species